rnacentral:rRNA from 1 species
CCUACGGGAGGCAGCAGUGGGGAAUCUUGCGCAAUGGGCGAAAGCCUGACGCAGCAACGCCGCGUGCGGGAAGAAGGCCCUAGGGUUGUAAACCGCUUUCAGUAGGAACGAAAAUGACGGUACCUGCAGAAGAAGGUGCGGCCAACUACGUGCCAGCAGCCGCGGUGACACGUAGGCACCAAGCGUUGUCCGGAUUUAUUGGGCGUAAAGAGCUCGUAGGCGGUUCAGUAAGUCGGGUGUGAAAACUCUGGGCUUAACCCAGAGCCGCCACUCGAUACUGCUGUGACUUGAGUUCGGUAGGGGAGCAGGGAAUUCCUAGUGUAGCGGUGAAAUGCGCAGAUAUUAGGAGGAACACCGGUGGCGAAGGCGCUGCUCUGGGCCGAUACUGACGCUGAGGAGCGAAAGCGUGGGUAGCAAACAGGAUUAGAUACCCUGGUAGUCCACGCCGUAAACGUUGGGCACUAGGUGUGGGUUCCAACCAACGGAAUCCGCGCCGUCGCUAACGCAUUAAGUGCCCCGCCUGGGGAGUACGGCGGCAACGCUAAAACUCAAAUGAAUUGACGG